rnacentral:rRNA from 1 species
GACAGAGGGUGCAAACGGUUGUUCGGAAUUAUUGGGCGUAAAGCGUGUGGUAGGCGGGCCUUGCAAGUCGGAUGUGAAAGCCCCGGGCUCAACCCGGGAAGUGCACUCGAUGACUGCAGGGCUUGAGUAUCGGAGAGGUUGGUGGAAUUCUCGGGUGUGAGAGGGUGAAAAUUCGUAGAUAUCGAGAGGAACACCGGCGGCGAAGGCGGCCA